AUGUUCCGGGUAAUACGGGACGGUUGGUGUGGGAUGGUUCUGAUUCCGCUGUGUUUUUUUUUAAACCGCCCGCUGGCGCUCCUGCGAGAUUUGCGUUGGGUCUCGCGGGACCCGGCGGCACACAAUCCCAAUGUAGCCCUCUAGUCUGUACUUCAGAUUAGCUAUAUGUGUCACAGACUAGAGCGCUGAAAACCACUCCACCCGCCACUGUGGCUUGUAUGCGAGGCAAAGUCACCCGCCAUUGGCUUGUGGCAGGUGCUAAUUUCCCACCCUGGGUGUGUCUAUUUUACAUUACAUUUGUUUUUGUUUUUAAUUACAGAUGCAGGGCACUAUCCCUGAUCACACUGCUGAUCAAGAAGAUCUCACUGCAUGUAUCCCUCAGAACCAGAUGUCUCAGGACUUGAUAUGCCAGUGCAGCUGACCUUGAGAGUUCACUAGCUUUACCUGCAACGCCUCGUCUGAUACUUCUUGGAGAAACAGGAAACCACUUCCAACGCUGGAUGCUCAGCAUUGAGGGCCAGAUUGUGGGCGAAGGGAUCCAGUCGACCUUUGUGACAGGGCUGGCGUCUUUUUUCUCCGGUUUUUAUAUCUUCAACCUACAGUACCAAGAGGAGGCAGCGUGCACACUUGAAUUCAUCCAGAGGUAAGACAUUGUCUGUUAACACCUGCAUUUGUUCUGGCCUAGCUGUGGCUCAAGCAUGGUUUCAGCAGGUCUGGUGAUGGGAUUUAGCAAUUAACUUUGCUUUAGAAAGUUUUAGUGCAACUUACAAUAUUCAUAGAUGCAUAGGAUAGUAUGUUGAGGAUAGUUCAUGGACAUUUGUUGUCUUGUUGUAGUGUUAGUCUGUGUGAAUUACUAGAUUUCCAACCCGUGUAUAAUUUUUCAGACGCUUUGUGGGUAUAAACCCAGAAAAGGGGACAAAGGCUGCAAAGGGGAAAAAAAGAACGGUAAAUUCACACAUCGCCAGCCUCUUGCGCAGACUGAUGGACUUCCAGUGGGAUUUCAUUUCAAAAAGGUGAGAUAGAUACAUACAUUCAUGCUCUUUGCCAUUUGCCAAUAAAUUUUACUUUUCAGACUUUCUAUUAUUUAUGUCUCUCUCUCUCUCUCUCUCUCUUUCAGUGGAGGUGUGUUCAGGUGCGUUCUGGGCAAUGUAGUGUAUUUUUCUGUGAUUGAUCCGAUCUAUAUGUGCCUACAUUUGUAAGUAUUUAACUUUCAGUGUUUCUAUUACAAUAAAAAAGUUCAUUUGAACAUGGAACUAUUCGUUUUCUUUCACUUAAGUGUUAUGUGAUGUAUUAUACCUAUUCUUAUAAUAACUCAAGCUAGAAAUAUGUAUAUUACAAUCAAUGGUACACAUUACUAUGCUAAAAUAAUAAUCAAUACAUUUUAAAAGCAAUAUUUAAAGGAAACUAAAUAAAUGGUGAUUUAACAUGAAAAUAAUGGUAACCCUGCUGCCAGUAAAGUCCUGUUAAAAAACAUUACGGGUGUGCACUGUAAAAAAACAUUAACAGGAAUAAACUGUUAAAAUAACAUGAAAAUAAUGGUAACCCUGCUGCCAGUAAAUUCCUGUUA